rnacentral:rRNA from 1 species
CCUACGGGUGGCUGCAGUCGAGAAUCUUCGGCAAUGGUCGACAGACUGACCGAGCGACGCCGCGUGGAGGACGAAGGCCUUCGGGUUGUAAACUCCUGUCGAGGGGGAACAAGGUGCCGUGAAGAGCGGCGCUUGAGUGAUCCCUGGAGGAAGCACGGGCUAAGUUCGUGCCAGCAGCCGCGGUAAGACGAACCGUGCGAACGUUAUUCGGAAUCACUGGGCUUAAAGCGCGUGUAGGCGGAUGGCCGCGUCGUUUGCUGAAAGCCCCCGGCUCA